rnacentral:rRNA from 1 species
UGGGGAAUAUUGGACAAUGGGGGCAACCCUGAUCCAGCCAUGCCGCGUGAGUGAUGAAGGCCCUAGGGUUGUAAAGCUCUUUUGUGCGGGAAGAUAAUGACGGUACCGCAAGAAUAAGCCCCGGCUAACUUCGUGCCAGCAGCCGCGGUAAUACGAAGGGGGCUAGCGUUGCUCGGAAUCACUGGGCGUAAAGGGUGCGUAGGCGGGUUUCUAAGUCAGAGGUGAAAGCCUGGAGCUCAACUCCAGAACUGCCUUUGAUACUGGAAGUCUUGAGUAUGGCAGAGGUGAGUGGAACUGCGAGUGUAGAGGUGAAAUUCGUAGAUAUUCGCAAGAACACCAGUGGCGAAGGCGGCUCACUGGGCCAUUACUGACGCUGAGGCACGAAAGCGUGGGGAGCAAAACAGGAUUAGAUACCCUGGUAGUCCACGCCGUAAACGAUGAAUGCCAGCCGUUAGUGGGUUUUACUCACUAGUGGCGCAGCUAACGCUUUUAAGCAUUCCGCCUGGGGAGUACGGUCGCAAGAUUAAAAACUUAAAUGAAUUGACGGGGUCAUAGCUGUUUCCU